rnacentral:rRNA from 1 species
UACGGAGGGUGCGAACGUUAAUCGGAAUCACUGGGCGUAAAGCGCGCGUAGGCGGUUUGUUAAGUGGGAUGUGAAAGCCCCGGGCUUAACCUGGGAAUUGCAUUUCAAACUAGCGAACUAGAGUGCGGUAGAGGGAGGUAGAAUUUCCUGUGUAGCGGUGAAAUGCGUAGAUAUAGGAAGGAAUACCAGUGGCGAAGGCGGCUUCCUGGCCUGUUCUUGACGCUGAGGCGCGAAAGCUAGGGGAGCAAACGGG